CUUGAAAUCUCGCGCGUUUCUUUCUCCUCUCCAUUUCCCCGAUCAACUAUGGCUUCAAUAUCUUCUGCAACUGCCAUGUAAUGGAUCGAAAUCAGUUCAACAAUUUAGGUUACUUAAGUUAUAUGAUUACUGCGUUACAGGAAUUCGAACAUCAGAGAUUUUGACGUACCACAGCCUUUUCAUCCUUAAACUCUGAUUCUCCUUGUAUUGCAACGGAACAAAUUGAAACGAUGCGAGUGGUUUUUGAUUAUGGAAACGUGUGUCAUCAAACUUAUAUUAGGCAAUGCCUACAUCCACUGCCAAAGGAGCGACAUCAAGAUUCUCUGUCGAUGAUCAGUCUGACGAAUUUUACAAGAUACAAUAUGGAAGAAGAUGUACUAAGUUGUCCGUUUGAACUUGUAUAUAGCAGAAACCAGUUCUAAUGGCUUUAACAAACUUCUCUGUUUCUUCUUAUUGCAAAACCGUUUUGACCAAUUUUUUAUUAGUUUAGGGUUUUCAUAAGUCAUAUCAAAUCCUAAUUUCCAUGAUAAAUAUCAGUUCUGAAUUGACUGGUGUUUUUCCUUACUCUACAGGAAAAAUGUAAUUCUACGUUACGCAUCGAAGUAAUUCCUUGCACUCUCCUCUUUAUGUAGGGUUAUUAGCUUCCUAAACUGUUAUUUCUAGCGAUGCAUCCAGGAUUUAGUUGCCGGAGAAUGUUCGGGAGAUAAAGUCGGUAUCGUCGGCGCCAAACAUUUUUGCGGGUAGCAGCUUGCAUUGCAGUUUCCACACUCUGUCAAUAUAAUUCGAAGAGGUGUAUUUAUCAAAAACCAGAUCUAACCACUUUGGUGUUGCAGCGCUGUGACCAUGAUUUGUGCUUGACGUGUCAGGUACAUUCUAUUCUUGUUUUUUAGUAAGUGGUGUUUAAAUGUAUGGGGCUGGUCAAGCAGACUUGUAUCGUGGUUUAGACGAAAGAGUGUAAGACUUGACCUUCAUUCUCAGUUUGCAGUUAAGAGGAAGAGCUAGGAAGGACAAUAUAGGUGUAACCUUCUCUCUAUUAGUCCACAAUUUUAUCGUCUUAAUAUGCUGAAUAAAGUUUUUACAAUCAAUUCAGGGGAAUAAUUUUUCUUUUGAAGUAAUCCAACAUAUAUUUUUCCCUCGGGACAUUCGGUAAAAUUAAGAAGAUUGGCAUAGCCCUUGCGCAAGGAUAAGACACAAAUCAAAAUAAUCCAACAUAUAUUCCUUAUUAACCAAAAUAACAAUAAAGAAAAUUCGGUUAUUUUUGUAGUGAAGCAUAUUGAUAAAUGUUGGCUAUAAAGAAGACGUGUCUCCUGUAAUUAUUAGGCUCUGCACUCCAAAGUUACGACAAUUCUUCAAAAGACUUCACCUGUAACCAAGUCCUCUUACAAAUCCUCUAUUGCUUAGAAUUCGCAAUUAACGAUAGUCAAGAAAAAAACUUCCAUUAGGAAAAUUGAUGAUGAAAAAGAUUGAAUACAAUUAAAAAGAACGAUGUUUGUGGAUGCUACUGGGAGCAGUUCCUUUUAUCAGGAAGAUUGAUUUAAUAAGAAGAGUGGAUUGACCAAGUUAAAAGAUUAAAAUUAAUAAUUUAAAAACAUAGAGGAUCCUCAUAGUUAUCUCAGUUGAAAAAAUUCAAACUAAUGUAUAUCAUCCAAUCUUGGUUCUAAGUAUAGCUAAAAUUUAAGCCACGGGCAUUCACAACCUAAAAGAAUAGACAACAUAACCUACAACUUCUAAGCAACUAAAACAACAAUAAAAUCAAGACACGGUUAGAGGGGCUGACAUAAAAUUUAUACCAAUUCAUCCAAUGUAACGAUGAUUCAGUUCUCGGAUGUAGGUUUACUAAAAUCGUUCAAGAAUGGUUUCUAAAAGAUCUCGUAAGUCACUCAACAAAGCUUUCUCAAAUCUCUUCCUUCCAUGGAGACUAAACAGAUAUAUUUCCAUCGCUCGAAAACGCCCAUGAUUCCUGCCAAUUGAAGAAAAGUUGCUGUUUAAUAAAUAGCAGCGGCGCUGUGGCGCUACAAACGGAAAUUUUCACCUGUCUUUUUCGGCAUUCCAUGGCGCUCCUUGCUUGAUAUUUCUGGGUCUCUUACACAAUUUGUGUUAGUUUGGGACUACUUCAACAUUCGAAUGGUGUUUAUUACUCUGCUUGACGGUCACUUGAAUUUAAAACAAGUCAAAUCAACAAUUGACUUGGCUUUCAAUAGCUACAAUUUUUUCUUCCACUUGAAUGUUUAUGGGUUUUAGUUUUGAAAUUUACUAUUUUAGUGGAGUGGAGCAUUUGUUUCCAAGUCAAUAUUCUAUUUUACAGGAGUAUUUGUGUUCAACUCAGUGCUUCUGUUCAAAUAACGUGACCGCAACUACAAACCAUGAAGGUUUUGUUUCUAUUCCAUGACUUUAUGUUGAGUGGAUACUUUCAUUGUUGUUUUGACGUUCUUCAAUAUGCUUGCUGAUAUUUGUUCCAUUCAUUAACUUGCUUAAAAGUUCAUCGAA